UCAUCUCACUCUCAGACACUUUUCUCGCCCCACUCAUCUCCGACCACCUCACUCUCUACUCACAACAACAAUCAUCUCUCUUUUUCCAUCUGGUCGCAGAAACGUAACAACAUAAUCGUUCGCUCAUCUUCUCGCGUUCGCAGCUUCACCACCGCACAAUUUAGCCGUUGUUCUCCUCUUGUCUGAGAUUGUUCAGAUUCACGCUUUACCUCGCCUAACCAUAGUGAGGAAGUGAAUUUCUGAACAAACGUGAGAAAUCUGAAUGUGUAGGGGAUAUAUGCUUUCAACAUUGUAAAUUCUCAUCAUCAUCAUCCGGCUGACUCCUCAUCCAUUGGUUUAUUUUUCAUUUCAUGAAUAUAUCAUUAUGAUUGAAUAAACUAUGGAAUUGUAGUUUCUGCUUAGCACUUGAUAUGGAGUGAAUGGGUUUACACUUGAUCUUCCCUUGAGACUCUAUUGAACGCGAGGUUGCUCUCAUGAUACUCAUAAUGUGAAGGACGUUCUUCUCAGAUAAAAUUGACAAAAGGUUUCGUAACAAAGGAGUUACUGAAAGGGCAUCCGGCAAGUUCUUUCGUUCAUAAACUCGAAUGCAUUGUUUAUAAAUA